rnacentral:lncRNA from 1 species
UCUCCACUCUCAUCUCAAAAUCCCUCUUCUCACUAGAUUUUCUCAUUUAAAUCACCCCUUUAGGAUUUAAAUCUCUUUUCUCUUUCUUCUUCAUUUGGGUGGUUCGAGCUUAUCCUAGCUUCAAAUCCUUUUUUUUUUCAAACCAACGGUCUGUCUCUCCAAAAUCUUUGCUUUUUCUCUAAAAAUUUCUUCCACUCUACCACUCAUCAACUCUCCUAAGCUAUUUGCAAGUCUCUUUUGUCCAAAAUGGCUCCCAAAUCAAAGCUACCGCAGAGAAAAAAAUCAGUUCAAGGGU